UACGUAGGAGGCAAGCGUUGUCCGGAAUCAUUGGGCGUAAAGAGCGCGUAGGCGGCCCGGUAAGUCCGCUGUAAAAGUCCAGGGCUCAACCCUGGAAAGCCGGUGGAUACUGUCGGGCUAGAGUCCGGAAGAGGCGAGUGGAAUUCCUGGUGUAGCGGUGGAAUGCGCAGAUAUCAGGAGGAACACCGAUGGCGAAGGCAGCUCGCUGGGACGGUACUGACGCUGAGGCGCGAAAGCGUGGGGAGCGAACAGG
rnacentral:rRNA from 1 species